rnacentral:rRNA from 1 species
UACAGAGGUCUCAAGCGUUGUUCGGAUUCAUUGGGCGUAAAGGGUGCGUAGGCGGCGAGGCAAGUCUGGUGUGAAAGCCCGGGGCCCAACCCCGGAACUGCAUCUGAAACUGCCUGGCUAGAGUCCCGGAGAGGAAGGCAGAAUUCCCGGUGUAGGGGUGAAAUCCGUAGAUAUCGGGAGGAAUACCAGCGGCGAAGGCGGCCUUCUGGACGGUGACUGACGCUGAGACGCGAAAGCGUGGGGAGCAAACAGG